CCGGGAAACCGGAGCUAAUACCGGAUAGUUCCUUGAACCGCAUGGUUCAAGGAUGAAAGACGGUUCGGCUGUCACUUACAGAUGGACCCGCGGCGCAUUAGCUAGUUGGUGAGGUAACGGCUCACCAAGGCGACGAUGCGUAGCCGACCUGAGAGGGUGAUCGGCCACACUGGGACUGAGACACGGCCCAGACUCCUACGGGAGGCAGCAGUAGGGAAUCUUCCGCAAUGGACGAAAGUCUGACGGAGCAACGCCGCGUGAGUGAUGAAGGUUUUCGGAUCGUAAAGCUCUGUUGUUAGGGAAGAACAAGUGCAAGAGUAACUGCUUGCACCUUGACGGUACCUAACCAGAAAGCCACGGCUAACUACGUGCCAGCAGCCGCGGUAAUACGUAGGUGGCAAGCGUUGUCCGGAAUUAUUGGGCGUAAAGGGCUCGCAGGCGGUUUCUUAAGUCUGAUGUGAAAGCCCCCGGCUCAACCGGGGAGGGUCAUUGGAAACUGGGAAACUUGAGUGCAGAAGAGGAGAGUGGAAUUCCACGUGUAGCGGUGAAAUGCGUAGAGAUGUGGAGNGAACACCAGUGGCGAAGGCGACUCUCUGGUCUGUAACUGACGCUGAGGAGCGAAAGCGUGGGGAGCGAACAGGAUUAGAUACCCUGGUAGUCCACGCCGUAAACGAUGAGUGCNUAAGUGUUAGGGGGUUUCCGCCCCUUAGUGCUGCAGCUAACGCAUUAAGCACUCCGCCUGGGGAGUACGGUCGCAANGACUGAAACUCAAAGGAAUUGACGGGGGCCCGCACAAGCGGUGGAGCAUGUGGUUUAAUUCGAAGCAACGCGAAGAACCUUACCAGGUCUUGACAUCCUCUGACAACCCUAGAGAUAGGGCUUUCCCUUCGGGGACAGAGUGACAGGUGGUGCAUGGUUGUCGUCAGCUCGUGUCGUGAGAUGUUGGGUUAAGUCCCGCAACGAGCGCAACCCUUGAUCUUAGUUGCCAGCAUUUAGUUGGGCACUCUAAGGUGACUGCCGGUGACAAACCGGAGGAAGGUGGGGAUGACGUCAAAUCAUCAUGCCCCUUAUGACCUGGGCUACACACGUGCUACAAUGGACAGAACAAAGGGCUGCGAGACCGCAAGGUUUAGCCAAUCCCACAAAUCUGUUCUCAGUUCGGAUCGCAGUCUGCAACUCGACUGCGUGAAGCUGGAAUCGCUAGUAAUCGCGGAUCAGCAUGCCGCGGUGAAUACGUUC
rnacentral:rRNA from 1 species